rnacentral:lncRNA from 1 species
ACACCAUACUUUUACUCCCUCUCUUCCUUAUCUCUCUCGGCCAACCACACCCCCACACACUUACCCAUUUUUAUAAAGAUAAAUAUCAAGACUCAAGCUCCAAGAUCCAAGUUUUUUUGUGAUUCAAUCUUUGGUUUGAAGAUUUAAGCUCAAGAUCUCUUCUUUUCUAACUUUUCCUUCUCCUUGCUCGUUUUAAGUAAGUUUCAUCUUUCAAAUCUAUUUCUUAUGAGGUCACGACGAGGUUAUUUCAAGCUGUGGGAUUUGUUUAUCUUUGUUUGAUAUAUGGAGUAUUAUGCUUUGCCG